UAAACUAAAGCAGAAUUGAUCAGGACACAAAGUUAAUGAUGGCAAAUUUUUGUUGUAGUGUGUUUUGUCUCAGGCCAAAUGCUGGAGUGUUACUUUGGCCUGUCUCUAUCGACGGUCAUGUCUAGAGAAAGGAAGUCGGCGGCGAGUUGAGAGGUCAAUGAUGCAGAUAGAGGAGUUGGUGAAUCAGAUGAAAACUAAUGACCCCCCAGCAUCAGACAGACUCUUCUUGUUCUUCUCUGUGAAGCUUCCUCCAUUUUGGAAACUAGAGAGACAGCUAGCAGAGCUCCUAUUAAGCAUUAGGUCUAUUGGUGGUGCUUUUGGGGUUUUU